rnacentral:rRNA from 1 species
UACGAAGGGGGCUAGCGUUGUUCGGAAUUAUUGGGCGUAAAGCGCGUGUAGGCGGCUUUGCAAGUCGGGUGUGAAAGCCCUCAGCUCAACUGAGGAAGUGCGCCCGAAACUGCAGAGCUUGAGUGCCGGAGAGGGUGGCGGAAUUCCCCAAGUAGAGGUGAAAUUCGUAGGAUAUGGGGAGGAACACCGGUGGGCGAAGGCGGCCACCUGGACGGUAACUGACGCUGAGACGCGAAAGCGUGGGGAGCAAACAGG